rnacentral:rRNA from 1 species
AACGAACGUUAGCGGCGCGCCUAACACAUGCAAGUCGAGCGAUAAGCCUUCGGGCCGAAAGCGGCGCACGGGUGAGUAACACGUAGAUAACCUACCCUCGAGUGGUGGAUAACGUUCCGA